rnacentral:tRNA from 1 species
GCUCGGCCGGAGCGGGUGCCUGGUCGCUCGGGGCGACCGGUGCGAGCACGGGUUCGGAUUCGGGUUCGGGGUCGGGGUCGGGUAC